CUCACGCCUGCUGCUGCCGGCUCCACUUCCUGUGCCCUCAUCUUCUUCCUCCUGGACAACCCUCCUCUAUACUUUGUCACAGUGACUGGAAGUUGACUAACAAAUUCUGAAUACAAAUGUCUACAUUUGUAAUAGCAGGAAAUGAACAAAUACAGAUCAAAAGAAUGUCCUAUUUUUAUUCUCUGGACUCUGAGCACCAAGAUUUACAUCUGCACAGCGACAGAAGGAAAAAUGAGAGAACUCAAGUUUGGUUCCUGGCAACCACCCAUUGGAUGGCUUAUAGAUCUCUGUGACUCCAGCUCAGGAAUUCUGGUGUUCUCUUCUGUUUUUCCUGGACAUCCACACUCAUGUGCACAUACCUCCCCCAACACACAAACACAUAAUUAAAGUAUAAAUCCAGCACACAUUUGUUGGAUGCUUGGUGGUGGAUUGUGCAAUUGCUGCUGACACAAGAAAAUUCAAAGAAGCUCAUGAUCCGGUCACCACGAACAAGUCUCAUUUCUAAGAUUCAUCUUUAGUUUCCUUACUGGAAAAUGAGAAGACUAGAUUCUAUGACCUCAGCAGUCAUCUUUACUCACCUUUAAGUCCAGCUUUUUGGUAAUAAGGACUAUCAUGACCUUUUUGUUCAGAUUGUGUAAAAUAAUUGAAGACUUUUGCUGUCUUGGUAUGGCAUCACAGGCCUGUUGUGGUGGUUUGAAAGAAUAUGGCCCCCAAAGGGAGUGGCACUACUAGAACGUGUGACUUUGUUGGAGUAGGUGUGGCCUUGUUGGAGGAAGUGUGUCAC